CAACAUAUUUUUAUAAGUACAUAUACAAAGAACCGUGCAUGACUUCCAUCCUGACAGGUGAACAAUGGGUGACAGAUGUUUUGAGUGGACAUUAUAUACGAUGUAUUAAUGCUUUUAGGAUGGAAUCGAGUGUGUUCAAACAACUAUGUGAAGAACUACAAGCCAGGUAUGGAUUAAGAGAAAGUAAAAAGAUGGCUGUUAUUGAAAAGGUCGACAUCUUCGUAUAUACUCUUGCCUUAGGUAUUUCUAAUAGAGAUGUUGCUGAGCGAUUUCAACGUUCUGGUGAGACUAUUAGUAGAGCAUUUCAUGAAGUUCUGGAAGCUAUUAGUGGUAGAACGAGGGCUUAUAUGGGUCUUGCACGCGAUAUCAUAAAACCACAGGAUGCAAGUUUCCCAGGUAUACCACCUCAGAUUGAAUAUGAUCCAAGAUACAUGCCUUAUUUCAAGGACGCUAUUGGAUGCAUUGAUGGAACACACAUAAAUGCAUGUAUACCCGAGACAGAGCAAUUGCGUUAUAGAGGGAGAAAAGGAAACCCUACUUUCAAUGUCAUGGCAACAUGUGAUUUUGAUAUGUGUUUCACUUUUAUUUCUCUUGGAUGGGAAGGAUCCGCUCAUGACACUCGGGUUUUUCUUCAUGCACUUAAUACACAAGAACUGAACUUUCCGAAACCCCCAGAAGGUAAGUACUACUUGGUGGACAAAGGAUAUCCGGACAGAAAAGGCUAUUUGGUACCAUACCCGAAAACAAGGUACCACAAGGAUGAAUUCACGAAUAUGCCACCGACUAAUGAAAGAGAAGCCUUUAAUCGAUCUCAUUCAUCCCUACGAAGUUGUAUUGAGAGAUCAUUUGGAGUUUUGAAAAAAAGAUGGAAGAUAUUAGGGCAAAUGCCACAAUUCAGUGUCGAGACUCAACUUGAUGUCAUUAUGGCCGCUUUUGCCUUGCAUAACUACAUACGAAAAAUUCUACAGAGGACCUUAUCUUUAGAAUGGUCGAUGAGAAUCCUGAUUACAUGCCUUGUGAAGAACUUCCCGACGUUAUCCAUGCUAGAAACAAUGAAACGUCAAGAGAGACUUCUAAAGAAAUGGAAAAAGUUCGUGAUGACAUUGCUUCUUUGAUUUGGAAAGCACAAUGAUUGUAUUUUAAAAUAAAGUACAAUAUAUGUUUUAUAUUAAUAAUAAUUUUAUUUCUGCAAAAUAUAAUGAUAUGUUGAUUUAAAAUUUCAGCUACAG